UGAGGAAUAUUGGUCAAUGGUCGGAAGACUGAACCAGCCAUGCCGCGUGAAGGAAGAAUGCCCUAUGGGUUGUAAACUUCUUUUGUACGGGAACAAUAAGUGUUACGAGUAACACGACGAGGGUACCGUACGAAUAAGCAUCGGCUAACUCCGUGCCAGCAGCCGCGGAAUACGGAGGAUGCAAGCGUUAUCCGGAUUUAUUGGGUUUAAAGGGUGCGUAGGCUGACCUAUAAGUCAGAGGUGAAAUACUGCAGCUUAACUGUAGAAUUGCCUUUGAUACUGUAGGGCUUGAGUACAUCUGAGGUAGGCGGAAUGUGCAGUGUAGCGGUGAAAUGCUUAGAUAUUGCACAGAACACCGAUUGCGAAGGCAGCUUACUAAGAUGUAACUGACGCUGAAGCACGAAAGUGUGGGGAUCAAACAGGAUUAGAUACCCUGGUAGUCCACACUGUAAACUAUGAUUACUGGAUGUUUGUC
rnacentral:rRNA from 1 species